rnacentral:tRNA from 1 species
CAGAUAGUAGUUUAAUUAGAAUAAUAAUUUUGGAGAUUAUAGGAGGGUGUAUAAAAUUCUUAUCUGA